rnacentral:rRNA from 1 species
GAUGAACGCUGGCGGCGUGCCUAAUACAUGCAAGUAGAACGCUGAAGGAAGGAGCUUGCUCUUUCCGGAUGAGUUGCGAACGGGUGAGUAACGCGUAGGUAACCUGCCAGGUAGCGGGGGAUAACUAUUGGAAACGAUAGCUAAUACCGCAUAACAGUAGAUGUUGCAUGAUAUCUACUUAAAAGGUGCAAUUGCACCACUACCAGAUGGACCUGCGUUGUAUUAGCUAGUUGGUGAGGUAACGGCUCACCAAGGCGACGAUACAUAGCCGACCUGAGAGGGUGAUCGGCCACACUGGGACUGAGACACGGCCCAGACUCCUACGGGAGGCAGCAGUAGGGAAUCUUCGGCAAUGGACGGAAGUCUGACCGAGCAACGCCGCGUGAGUGAAGAAGGUUUUCGGAUCGUAAAGCUCUGUUGUAAGAGAAGAACGAGUGUGAGAGUGGAGAGUUCACACUGUGACGGUAUCUUACCAGAAAGGGACGGCUAACUACGUG